rnacentral:rRNA from 1 species
AACGCUGGCGGCGUGCCUAACACAUGCAAGUCGAACGAGAAAGUGGAGCAAUCCAUGAGUAAAGUGGCGACCGGGUGAGUAACACGUGACUAACCUACCCUGAAGUGGGGAAUAACCUCGGGAAACCGGGGCUAAUACCGCAUAACAUCGCGAGGGGAAGAUCCUAGUGAUCAAAGGAGCAAUUCGCUUUAGAAGGGGGUCGCGGCUGAUUAGUUAGUUGGUGAGGUAACGGCUCACCAAGACAAAGAUCAGUAUCCGGCCUGAGAGGGCGCACGGACACACUGGAACUGAAACACGGUCCAGACUCCUACGGGAGGCAGCAGUGGGGAACUUUGCGCAAUGGGGGAAACCCUGACGCAGCAACGCCGCGUGGAGGAUGAAGUCCCUUGGGAUGUAAACUCCUUUCGAU